UACGUAGGGUGCGAGCGUUGUCCGGAAUUAUUGGGCGUAAAGAGCUCGUAGGCGGUUUGUCGCGUCUGCUGUGAAAACUCGGGGCUUAACCCCGGGCCUGCAGUGGGUACGGGCAGACUAGAGUGCGGUAGGGGAGACUGGAAUUCCUGGUGUAGCGGUGAAAUGCGCAGAUAUCAGGAGGAACACCGGUGGCGAAGGCGACUACCUGGACCAGCACUGACACUGAGGCACGAAAGCGUGGGGAGCAAACAGG
rnacentral:rRNA from 1 species